rnacentral:tRNA from 3 species
GAGCCCGUAGCUCAGUUGGUUAGAGCGCUUCAUUGACAUUGAAGAGGUCAGAGGUUCGAGUCCUCUCGGGCUCACCC